rnacentral:rRNA from 1 species
UGGGGAAUAUUGGACAAUGGGCGCAGGCCUGAUCCAGCCAUGCCGCGUGAGUGAUGAAGGCCCUAGGGUUGUAAAGCUCUUUCACCGGUGAAGAUAAUGACGGUAACCGGAGAAGAAGCCCCGGCUAACUUCGUGCCAGCAGCCGCGGUAAUACGAAGGGGGCUAGCGUUGUUCGGAUUUACUGGGCGUAAAGCGCACGUAGGCGGACUUUUAAGUCAGGGGUGAAAUCCCGGGGCUCAACCCCGGAACUGCCUUUGAUACUGGAAGUCUUGAGUAUGGUAGAGGUGAGUAGAAUUCCGAGUGUAGAGGUGAAAUUCGUAGAUAUUCGGAGGAAAACCAGUGGCGAAGGCGGCUAACUGGACCAUUACUGACGCUGAGGUGCGAAAGCGUGGGGAGCAAACAGG